CCUACGGGAGGCAGCAGUGAGGAAUAUUGGUCAAUGGGCGCGAGCCUGAACCAGCCAAGUAGCGUGAAGGAUGACUGCCCUACGGGUUGUAAACUUCUUUUAUAAAGGAAUAAAGUGCGGUACGUGUGUCUUUUUGCCUGUACUUUAUGAAUCAGGAACGGCUAAUUCCGUGCCAGCGGCCGCGGUAAUACGGGGGUUCCGAGGGUUAUCCGGUUUUAUUGGGUGUAACGGGAGCGUAGAUGGGUUGUUAGUAGGUUGUGAAAGUUUGCGGCUCAACCGUAGAAUUGCAAUGGAUAUUGGCGGGCUUGAGUACAGUUGAGGUAGGCGGAAUUCGUAGUGUAGCGGUGAAAUGCUUAGAUAUCACGAAGAACUCCGAUGGCGAAGGCAGCCUACUAAACUGCCACUGACAUUGAUGCUCGAAAGUGUGGGUAUCAAACAGGAUUAGAUACCCUAGUAGUC
rnacentral:rRNA from 1 species